GCACGAGCCGGAAAUGGAAAAGCCGGUACAAGCGUAUAGCAGUCAUGCAGGCAAAACCGCAUGAAAAAUGUAAAGCGUUAUGAGGAUCGAACAUUAGUAGAGAAGCGUGUGAGCCAGCUGCCAAGAAAAGCCGCUAUUGCUUCAUAAGUACCCGUACCGUAAACCGACACAGGUGGAUGAGGAGAGAAUCCUAAGGCCGGCGGGAGAAGUGUUGUUAAGGAACUCGGCAAAAUGACUCCGUAACUUCGGGAGAAGGAGUGCCACAGAGAUGUGGCCGCAGAGAAAUGGCCCAAGCAACUGUUUAGCAAAAACACAGGUCUAUGCAAAACCGAAAGGUGAGGUAUAUGGGCUGACGCCUGCCCGGUGCUGGAAGGUUAAGAGGAGAGGUUAGAGCAAUCGAAGCUUUGAAUUUAAGCCCCAGUAAACGGCGGCCGUAACAAUAACGGUCCUAAGGUAGCGAAAUUCCUUGUCGGGUAAGUUCCGACCCGCACGAAAGGCGUAAUGAUUUGGGCACUGUCUCAACAACACACCCGGUGAAAUUGAAAUACCAGUGAAGAUGCUGGUUACCUGCGCCAGGACGGAAAGACCCCAUGGAGCUUUACUCCAGUUUGAUACUGGGAUUCGGUACUGUCUGUACAGGAUAGGUGGGAGGCUAGGAAAUGGUGACGCCAGUUGCCAUGGAGCCAACCUUGGGAUACCACCCUUACAGUACUGGGUCUCUAACCUGCAGCCGUAACCCGGCUGGGGGACAAUGUCUGACGGGGAGUUUGACUGGGGCGGUCGCCUCCGAAAGAGUAUCGGAGGCGCUCAAAGGUUCCCUCAGAACGGUUGGAAACCGUUCGAAGAGUGCAAAGGCAGAAGGGAGCUUGACUGCGACACCGACGGGUGGAGCAGAUACGAAAGUAGGACUUAGUGAUCCGGUGGUAUAAAGUGGGAUUGCCAUCGCUCAACGGAUAAAAGCUACCCUGGGAUAACAGGCUUAUCACUCCCAAGAGUUCACAUCGACGGAGUGGUUUGGCACCUCGAUGUCGGCUCAUCGCAUCCUGGAGCUGUAGCAGGUUCCAAGGGUUGGGCUGUUCGCCCAUUAAAGCGGUACGCGAGCUGGGUUCAGAACGUCGUGAGACAGUUCGGUCCCUAUCCGGCGUGGGCGUAGGAUAUUUGAGAGGAGCUGUCCUUAGUACGAGAGGACCGGGAUGGACAAACCUCUGGUGUAUCUGUUGUUUUACCAAAGGCAUGGCAGAGUAGCCAAGUUUGGCAGGGAUAAACGCUGAAGGCAUCUAAGCGUGAAGCCCCCCUCAAGAUAAGAUAUCCCAUCUUCGGAGUAAGACCCCUUGAAGACUACAAGGUUGAUAGGCUUUGUGUGUAAGUGCGGUAACGCACUCAGCUGAGAAGUACUAAUAGGUCGAGGACUUAUUAA
rnacentral:rRNA from 1 species